AUUGAACGCUGGCGGUAUGCUUAACACAUGCAAGUCGAACGGUAACAGGCCUUCGGGCGCUGACGGGUGGCGGACGGGUGAGUAACGCGUAGGAAUCUGCCUCAUAGUGGGGGACAACGUGGGGAAACUCACGCUAAUACCGCAUACGCCCUACGGGGAAAGCGGGGGAUCUUCGGACCUCGCGCUAUGAGAUGAGCCUGCGUUAGAUUAGCUAGUUGGUAGGGUAAAGGCCUACCAAGGCGACGAUCUAUAGCUGGUCUGAGAGGACGAUCAGCCACACUGGGACUGAGACACGGCCCAGACUCCUACGGGAGGCAGCAGUGGGGAAUAUUGGACAAUGGGCGCAAGCCUGAUCCAGCAAUACCGCGUGUGUGAAGAAGGCCUUAGGGUUGUAAAGCACUUUCAAUUGGGAGGAAAACCUGCCGGUCAAUACCCGGCAGCUUGACAUUACCUUUAGAAGAAGCACCGGCUAACUCCGUGCCAGCAGCCGCGGUAAU
rnacentral:rRNA from 1 species